rnacentral:rRNA from 1 species
GAUCAUGGCUCAGGAUGAACGCUGGCGGCGUGCUUAACACAUGCAAGUCGAACGGAGUAUAUUUAAAAGCUUGCUUUUGUAUAUACUUAGUGGCGGACGGGUGAGUAACGCGUGGGUAACCUGCCUUAUACCGGGGGACAACAGCUGGAAACGGCUGCUAAUACCGCAUAAGCGCACAGAUAGGCAUCUAUCAGUGUGAAAAACUCCGGUGGUAUAAGAUGGACCCGCGUCUGAUUAGCCAGUUGGCGGUGUAACGGACCACCAAAGCGACGAUCAGUAGCCGGCCUGAGAGGGCAAACGGCCACAUUGGGACUGAGACACGGCCCAAACUCCUACGGGAGGCAGCAGUGGGGAAUAUUGCACAAUGGAGGAAACUCUGAUGCAGCCGACGCCGCGUGAGUGAAGAAGUAUCUCGGUAUGUAAAGCUCUAUCAGCAGGAAAGAAAAUGACGGUACCUGACUAAGAAGCCCCGGCUAACUACGUGCCAGCCGCUGC